rnacentral:rRNA from 1 species
GCACUUGAAGUCAGCCAUGCUGCUUGAGACUCAGCCUGGCCUUUGCUUGGUGUAUUUCUCGGUAGCAAGCCAGCAUUGGUUUGUGUCGUCGGAGAAGCGUAUGGGGAAUGUGGCAUCCUCGGAUGUGUUAUAGCCCUGUGCAGGAUACGACGACGUAGACCAAGGAACGCAGUGUGCCCUCUGGGCGGGUCUUCGGACACCUUCACACUUAGGAUGCUGGCGUAAUGGCUUUAAGUGGCCCGUCUUGAAACACGGACCAAG